UGGGGAAUUGUUCGCAAUGGGCGCAAGCCUGACGACGCAACGCCGCGUGGAGGAUGAAGACCUUCGGGUCGUAAACUCCUUUCGAUCGAGACGAAUGGCCUCCGGGUGAACAAUCCGGAGGAGUGACGGUACCGAGAGAAGAAGCCCCGGCUAACUCCGUGCCAGCAGCCGCGGUAAGACGUAGGGGGCGAGCGUUGUCCGGAUUUAUUGGGCGUAAAGAGCUCGUAGGCGGUUGCGUAAGUCGGAUGUGAAAACUCAGGGCUCAACCCUGAGACGCCAUCCGAUACUGCGCUGACUUGAAUCCAGUAGGGGAGUGUGGAAUUCCUGGUGUAGCGGUGAAAUGCGCAGAUAUCAGGAGGAACACCCAUGGCGAAGGCAGCACUCUGGGCUGGUAUUGACGCUGAGGAGCGAAAGCAUGGGUAGCGAACAGGAUUAGAUACCCUCGUAGUCCCUGAGCGGGCUGGCAAGGCGCAU
rnacentral:rRNA from 1 species